AUUGAACGCUGGCGGCAGGCCUAACACAUGCAAGUCGAACGGUAACAGGAAGCAGCUUGCUGCUUUGCUGACGAGUGGCGGACGGGUGAGUAAUGUCUGGGAAACUGCCCGAUGGAGGGGGAUAACUACUGGAAACGGUAGCUAAUACCGCAUAACGUCGCAAGACCAAAGAGGGGGACCUUAGGGCCUCUUGCCAUCGGCUGUGCCCAGAUGGGAUUAGCUAGUAGGUGGGGUAACGGCUCACCUAGGCGACGAUCCCUAGCUGGUCUGAGAGGAUGACCAGCCACACUGGAACUGAGACACGGUCCAGACUCCUACGGGAGGCAGCAGUGGGGAAUAUUGCACAAAGGGCGCAAGCCUGAUGCAGCCAUGCCGCGUGUAUGAAGAAGGCCUUCGGGUUGUAAAGUACUUUCAGCGGGGAGGAAGGGAGUAAAGUUAAUACCUUUGCUCAUUGACGUUACCCGCAGAAGAAGCACCGGCUAACUCCGUG
rnacentral:rRNA from 1 species